GGUUAAGCGACUAAGCGUACACGGUGGAUGCCCUGGCAGUCAGAGGCGAUGAAGGACGUGCUAAUCUGCGAAAAGCGCCGGCGAGGUGAUAUGAACCCUUGACCCGGCGAUGUCCGAAUGGGGAAACCCAGUGUGUUCCGACACACUAUCGUUAACUGAAUACAUAGGUUAACGAGGCGAACCGGGGGAACUGAAACAUCUAAGUACCCCGAGGAAAAGAAAUCAACCGAGAUUCCCCCAGUAGCGGCGAGCGAACGGGGAGCAGCCCGGAGUCUGAAUCAGCUUGUGUGUUAGUGGAACGGUCUGGAAAGUCCGACGGUACAGGGUGAUAGUCCCGUACACGAAAAUGCACAGGUUGUGAACUCGAAGAGUAGGGCGGGACACGUGGUAUCCUGUCUGAAUAUGGGGGGACCAUCCUCCAAGGCUAAAUACUCCUGACUGACCGAUAGUGAACCAGUACCGUGAGGGAAAGGCGAAAAGAACCCCGGCGAGGGGAGUGAAAAAGAACCUGAAACCGUGUACGUACAAGCAGUGGGAGCACCUUCGGGUGUGACUGCGUACCUUUUGUAUAAUGGGUCAGCGACUUAUAUUCUGUAGCAAGGUUAACCGUAUAGGGGAGCCGAAGGGAAACCGAGUCUUAACUGGGCGUUAAGUUGCAGGGUAUAGACCCGAAACCCGGUGAUCUAGCCAUGGGCAGGUUGAAGGUUGGGUAACACUAACUGGAGGACCGAACCGACUAAUGUUGAAAAAUUAGCGGAUGACCUGUGGCUGGGGGUGAAAGGCCAAUCAAACCGGGAGAUAGCUGGUUCUCCCCGAAAGCUAUUUAGGUAGCGCCUCGUGAACUCAUCUUCGGGGGUAGAGCACUGUUUCGGCUAGGGGGCCAUCCCGGCUUACCAACCCGAUGCAAACUACGAAUACCGAAGAAUGUUAUCACGGGAGACACACGGCGGGUGCUAACGUCCGUCGUGAAGAGGGAAACAACCCAGACCGCCAGCUAAGGUCCCAAAGUCAUGGUUAAGUGGGAAACGAUGUGGGAAGGCACAGACAGCCAGGAUGUUGGCUUAGAAGCAGCCAUCAUUUAAAGAAAGCGUAAUAGCUCACUGGUCGAGUCGGCCUGCGCGGAAGAUGUAACGGGGCUAAACCAUGCACCGAAGCUGCGGCAGCGACGCUUAUGCGUUGUUGGGUAGGGGAGCGUUCUGUAAGCCGUUGAAGGUGUGCUGUGAGGCAUGCUGGAGGUAUCAGAAGUGCGAAUGCUGACAUAAGUAACGAUAAAGCGGGUGAAAAGCCCGCUCGCCGGAAGACCAAGGGUUCCUGUCCAACGUUAAUCGGGGCAGGGUGAGUCGACCCCUAAGGCGAGGCCGAAAGGCGUAGUCGAUGGGAAACAGGUUAAUAUUCCUGUACUUGGUGUUACUGCGAAGGGGGGACGGAGAAGGCUAUGUCAGCCGGGCGACGGUUGUCCCGGUUUAAGCAUGUAGGCGGAGGUUCCAGGUAAAUCCGGUACCUUUUAACGCUGAGGUGUGAUGACGAGGCACUACGGUGCUGAAGUGAUAAAUGCCCUGCUUCCAGGAAAAGCCUCUAAGCAUCAGGUAACACGAAAUCGUACCCCAAACCGACACAGGUGGUCAGGUAGAGAAUACCAAGGCGCUUGAGAGAACUCGGGUGAAGGAACUAGGCAAAAUGGUGCCGUAACUUCGGGAGAAGGCACGCUGAUAGGUAGGUGAAGCCCCUGCGGGCGGAGCUGAAAUCAGUCGAAGAUACCAGCUGGCUGCAACUGUUUAUUAAAAACACAGCACUGUGCAAACACGAAAGUGGACGUAUACGGUGUGACGCCUGCCCGGUGCCGGAAGGUUAAUUGAUGGGGUUAGCGGCAACGCGAAGCUCUUGAUCGAAGCCCCGGUAAACGGCGGCCGUAACUAUAACGGUCCUAAGGUAGCGAAAUUCCUUGUCGGGUAAGUUCCGACCUGCACGAAUGGCGUAAUGAUGGCCAGGCUGUCUCCACCCGAGACUCAGUGAAAUUGAACUCGCUGUGAAGAUGCAGUGUACCCGCGGCAAGACGGAAAGACCCCGUGAACCUUUACUAUAGCUUGACACUGAACACUGGUCCUUGAUGUGUAGGAUAGGUGGGAGGCUUUGAAGCGUGGACGCCAGUCUGCGUGGAGCCGCCCUUGAAAUACCACCCUUUAAUGGCUGGUGUUCUAACGUAGACCCGUGAUCCGGGUUGCGGACAGUGUCUGGUGGGUAGUUUGACUGGGGCGGUCUCCUCCCAAAGAGUAACGGAGGAGCACGAAGGUUGGCUAAUCCUGGUCGGACAUCAGGAGGUUAGUGCAAUGGCAUAAGCCAGCUUGACUGCGAGCGUGACGGCGCGAGCAGGUGCGAAAGCAGGUCAUAGUGAUCCGGUGGUUCUGAAUGGAAGGGCCAUCGCUCAACGGAUAAAAGGUACUCCGGGGAUAACAGGCUGAUACCGCCCAAGAGUUCAUAUCGACGGCGGUGUUUGGCACCUCGAUGUCGGCUCAUCACAUCCUGGGGCUGAAGUAGGUCCCAAGGGUAUGGCUGUUCGCCAUUUAAAGUGGUACGCGAGCUGGGUUUAGAACGUCGUGAGACAGUUCGGUCCCUAUCUGCCGUGGGCGCUGGAGAAUUGAGGGGGGCUGCUCCUAGUACGAGAGGACCGGAGUGGACGCAUCACUGGUGUUCGGGUUGUCAUGCCAAUGGCACUGCCCGGUAGCUAAAUGCGGAAGAGAUAAGUGCUGAAAGCAUCUAAGCACGAAACUUGCCCCGAGAUGAGUUCUCCCUGAGACCUUGAGUCUCCUGAAGGAACGUUGAAGACGACGACGUUGAUAGGUCGGGUGUGUAAGCGCAGCGAUGCGUUGAGCUAACCGAUACUAAUGAACCGUGAGGCUUAACCUU
rnacentral:rRNA from 1 species